UGACGGGUGCAAAGGAAUAGUAAAGA
rnacentral:piRNA from 1 species